rnacentral:lncRNA from 1 species
UGCCAGAAUGAUAAGUAUUGACAUCAAUAAUUUACAUUUUAUUUUUACAAUAUUCAGACUUAUUUGUUCUUCAUUUUUUUGGCAUAAAAAUUAAAGUCUUCUUCGUUAAGUUUAUAACCCCAAUGUUGUAAUGUCUGUCUGACAACUGGUGACACCCCAUGGUUAUCGUAGCCACACCCACUUCUGACACAUUUAGAGAUCAGAUUGUUUCUCCAACGUCCUGUUGUUCCUGCACACCUCAGCCAUCUCCCAAUCUGUCUCUCGUCAUCAGCAGUUCUCCUACCCUGGUAAAAUCUACAA